rnacentral:lncRNA from 1 species
CGGGGAUCCAGCGCUACCAUGAGCUGUGGUAUAGGUCGCAAAUGCAUCCUUGGUUGCUGUGGCUGUGGUGCAGGCGAGCAGCUACAGUUCUGAUUGGACCCCUAGCUCAGGAACUUCCAUAUGCCAAGGGUGCAACCCUAAAAAGCAAAAAAUAAAAAUAAAAUAACAAGUCACAGCCUGUGAGCAAAUAUUUAGUAUAUCUGAUUUAAAAAACUGCAUCCAGUAUUGGGUGUUAUAACUCGAUAAUAAGAGAACAAACAACCUACAUUUUUUAAUGGGCAAAAAUUUGAACAGUCAUUUCACAGAAGCUCUACAAAUGGCCAAUAAACACAUAAGAUGUUCAACAUCACUGGUCAUAAAAGAAAUGCAAGUUAAAACCGCAGUGAAGUAUCAGUGCACACCCAUAAAAUUAAAGACUCUCAUUAAAAAUGUUGGUAAGAAUGUUGAGCACCUGGAAUUCUCACAUAUUGUUGAUGGGAAUGGGAAGUGGAAUAAACUCUUUGAAAAAUUGUUUGACAAUUUCUUAUGAAGUUAAACGAGACACUUACCAUAUGACCCAACAAUUUGACUUCUAUACAUUUUGCCUAAAAUGAUUAGAAAAAUAUGUAAACAAAGACUUAUUCAAGGAUUCAUAACAGCUUUUUUCAUUGAUUGUCAAAAACUGAAAACAAUCCUAGUGUCCAUCAGCAGGUGAAUAGAUAAAUUGCAGUGCAUUCAUCCAAUGGAACACUUGUCAGCAAUAACAAGGAAGGAAAUGCUGAUAAGCGCAAUGAUGUUGAUGAAUCUCAAGAACAUUACUGAAUGAAAUGUCAGACACAAAAAAGUUCAUAGUAUGUGACUCCAUGGAUAUGAAACCUGAAGGAAAGAAAAAGUGAAGCUAAACUAUAGUGACAAAAAGCUGAUCACUGUUUGCCUAUGGUCCAGGGUGAGAGACUGACUAGGAAAGGGCACGAAGGACUUUUUUUAGCAUGAUGGAAAUGGCUUAUAUCUUUAUUAUGGUGAUGGUUUUAAGGGUGUAUAUAUUUGUCGAAAGUAAUCAUAUAUAUGCUUAAGAUGAGUAUAUGUUAAUGCAUAUAAAUUGUAACUCAUAAAGUUGAUUUUAAAAAACACUUGUGAUGUAGUUCUAUUUGUACAGGAAAAGUUUUCUAAAUGGGUAAUUGUGAGUGUGUGUGUAUAAUGUAUACACACAUAUAUAAUUAUGAAAGUUUCUAAGAGAAUAAACACCAAGGUGAUAACAUUGGUUGUCUCCAGGUAAGUGUGAUUAAUCAGUAGGCAUUAGUUUUCUUUUGUUUGCUUGUGUUUUCUGACACCCCCAUAAAUUGAUUUUCUCAUAAGAAAAAGAAAUUCAAACAUAAAAGAAAGCUUAAAUUUUCUUACUGGUCACUUAUGUUCUUACAGUAUAUUUUUAGACCUAGUGUUUCCAACUAUUACCCUAUUUGGAUAUACAGUUUGUUCUAAUUAAUCCCUUAUUAUUAUAUAUUAUGAUUAUUCCAGCUGUUUGCUGCUACAAGCAAUCUAGCAGAAAAAUAAUUGACUUUAAAUUCUAAAUGCAAAUUUAAAAAGCAAAAACAUGGAAAAAAUUAGAAAAAAAGAUAGACGUGAAAAGUUUACAAAACUGCCUGGCAAUGCACCAAAAAAUAUCAAUUUUCCAAAAAAUGAUCACUAACUGAUGAUGCUUAUUUUCAAAUCAAAUUACCGUGUUGUCCAGCUUGCUUUCAGCCAGGUUGUAUACUCCCUUUACAUUGUGGAACCUAGAAAACUAACCUAACACUUCAAUUUGAUAGAGCAAUACAGUGUCAUAUGUAAAGACAUAUGUACCACUAUUUUAAAACUUUAUCAAAGUAACUAUACUAGGACUUUUUUUGGUUCAAGUGACAGAAACCCAACUGUAACUUAUGCAGAAAAGGGAAAUUUUUAGGAAGCUACGGGGAAAGAUGAUUCAAGGAAAAGGUACUUAACUAAAAUAGGGAAAGUGCUAUGUAUGUAGUUAGCUGAAAUGGAGCCAGGAAUUCACACGUCACUGGAACACCAUUUUAAAAAAUAUGUACGUCACUGUCUUUCAUUAUAGACUAGUUCCUUUCUCAUAGCAGGAGACGUGACCACCAAUGGCAGCCGAGAACCUCCUCCUGUUUUGCAUCACCAAAGCAGAGCCAGUCUUCUUUUUCAGAGUUUGAAAAGACAUCAUUGAAGGAGUAUGAUGGACCCUUCUUGGUUCAGGUGCCUUCCCUGAAAGUAGUGAAGCAAGUCGGGAGGCAAAGCAGUAUCGUUUGCGGGGCUCAGGUUGGCUCCCAUCAACUAUGGGCAGGAUCCAGGAUCAACAGCAGCAGGAAUCAGUUGGGAGUGAGGAGUCCUGGGUAUACAGAAAAUAAGGAGGAAGCAGUUCCCAGAAGAAGGUGAGUUGGAAAGAUAAAGUAGUGUCCUCGCCAGUUAUGAAAUGAUCCCUGGAGUUCCCUUGUGGUGCAGCAGUUAAGUGUCUGCUGUCACUGCAGUGGCCCAGGUCACUGCUGUGGUGUGGAUUCAGUCCCUGGCGCAGGAACUUUCACAUGUUGCAGGCGUGGCCCAAAAAAAGAAGAUCCUUAAAACUUACACUCAAGAUGCCCUGGCAGACAAACCGUCCCUUACCAUAUUGCUUCCAUUUCCAUAAUACAUCUUGCUAGUAUCUAUUUAUAGUCUACCUCGUGCAAGAGCCUAGGGGUAAAGAAAUGAAAUCGUGAACAGUCUCAUACCCUUUGACUUGUAUAACUCUGCAUUCCUUGAUAUUAAUAUUGUCAGACCUGACUUGCUUAAUACUUACAUUUGAAUAAUCAUAUUCUACCCAUAUUUUAGUUUUGAAUAUUUUAUUUCUGUUUGUCUCAUAUACAUAGAAACCUUGGAUUUAGGGAUUUUUCCCCUCGUAUCUAAGCGCAUUGGCCUUUAAUAGUGUAUUAAAUUUUUUUAAGUCUUUAUAAAGACAACUGAGGUUGUUCUUGUUAAACCUUUAUUAAAUAGGCAUAUAUCCUUUCUGCCUUCGUUUUCUUUUUUUUAAAAAGGUAGUUGUUAUUCCUUUCCCCUUCUUCAUUCUUUUGAUCUGCAUUGAUGUAUGCCAUUAGCCUGUUAUUUACAAAUAAUUUCUUUCAAACAUUUUAAUCUUUUGAUGUCAGUUUUGACAAGAUACUUGCAGUUGUUUAGACUUAAUACAAUCAACUUGUCUCACUGUUGCCUACAAGUUCUUGUUUGCUGUUCUUGAGUUCCUCCUUCACACUCAUUAUCCUCUUCCUAUGGACACACUUUGAGUAACAUUUUUUUGGAGUAAAUACAUGCAUUUGCACAAUUCCCAUCGCCUUCACAUAUAAAUAGCUUGGUUAUAUUUAAAAUUCCUGAAUCAUAUGUGUUUUUUCUUUCAAACCUUUGCAAAUAGUGUGUUAUCAUCUUCUAUCUUUUUCCAGGAAAUUUUUUGUAUAGAAUGUUCUGGGCAAAAUAAGAUAUAAAAGAUGCUCCAGAGAAAAGGCUUCCAUGAUCACAUCAGUGUGGGAAAGGAAAGGUACCAGGCAAUGACAUGUCAUAAAAACCAGGAGACAUCCUGAGGGAUGAUGAUGGUUUGACUUAUUUCCAGAUGAUGAUGGUUUGACUUAUUUCCAGUGUAUCCAGCCUAUCUGACCACAGAAAUAUUGAGAGAGAGCUAAUGACCAAUAAUAUGUUUAUAGUUAAUAUUUGUUGAGAAGUUACUAUGAGCGAGGCACUGUUCUAGUGUUUAAUCUAUGGAUAUCAACUCAUUGGGUCCUCAUAGCAACUCUCUAUGGUUGAUAGAAUUUUUUUUUUUUUUUUUUGUCUUUUUGCUAUUUCUUGGGCUGCUCCCACAGCAUAUGGAGGUUCCCAGGCUAGGGCUCUGAAUGGACCCCUAGCCUGGAAACCUGCAUAUGCCACGGGUGUGGCCCUAAAAGACAAAAAGACAAAAAGAAAAAAAAAAAAAAGAUGAGAAAACUGAGGCAUGAAGAGUUUGAGAAAAUAAGCUGGAAAAUGGCCAAGCAGACAGUUCCACAUUACUCACAGCCCUGACAGUUACAGGUAAGGGCACAAUAAAGGCAACUUCUCUACCUGUCCCAAGUCUGAAAAACAUAACAAAACAUCUAGUUGCACCAAAAAGGAAAAGGAACUUUCCACCAGAUAGACUCUGUAACAGAAUUUGCUGCUGAAUUACUGCAAAGGCACUCUGGGAGGGUAAUCUGAUUAUCUUCAGUGCAAGUGCUCAAACUCUGCUGUUGGCCAACAUCCAGAACCCAUCAUUGAAUACUCAUCACCUCAUCAAUUCAGCCUUCUCAACUGACGGGCAAAACAACAUCCAAAUAUUCAUUGCACAUCUGUGCUGGGCAGAUUAUACAUUAGCAAUUCAAAUCUGGCCAGUGUACCGGCCGUUCCUGCAAAUGUGUCUGUUUGGGUGAGAUGCCUUGUUGUCUGGGACGGAUAAUAAGGUAACUCGGUCUAAUCUUGAAGAACAAUCAACCCAUCUUGUGAAGGUGACUGGCUGUGUGUGUUCUUGCCCUGGCAGUGCUGGAACAAUGGCCCCAUAAUGCACUCGACUCAGCUGGCAAUGAAGUCCCAUCCUGAUUAGUAGCCGUGGCUGGUGUCAAUCACCACAGCAUGCACCAUUGUCCUCUGGUCCCCAACACAGUUUAUUUACAGGAAAACAAAGGCUUUGGGGGGCUAUGGCUGCUUCCCAGAGAUUGCAAAAUAGAUUGAGCUGUCAAGCACACAAAGUAGAUGAAGAUUAAUGAGUUGUGCGGACAAUAAAUAUGAAGAGAUGACCAUGAAUAUGCUAAUGAGCAUUAUCCAUAUACACCGUAAUUGCUACCAAAAUUAAAAGGUGGCAUGAAGAAGAUGGGUCACGAGGUGACAGGGAGAUAAUCUUAGAUUCUUGAGAUGCUCACCCCAAAUAAGACCCUCUACAGGUUUCUUUUCCCCAAUUAAACCAUCCCCAAACAGCAUUGUUCACAAGCUGUCUGAAUAGACGCCUUUUAAACAGGGAUGUAAGGAGUGGUAUGAGGGGGAAGCUGGAAAAGUUACUUUACGAAAAGGUGUAAUUAGAAGAAGAAAUGUGUUUAUCAAAGGCAAGAAGUGAUCAGCUGUCAGGCUUCCUCCCCUUCCCCAGGGACAGAACUGAUGAGGAUGUCACUUCAAACUUCAGGCCACCACCACAACCCCAGCGCCACAAGGACUGUUAUAACUAUGACAGCGUUAUUUAGAUCACCUUUUAAGGGGGAGUGAGUGAUUUUUCAGGGUAUUCUAAUACUCUGAUGACUUUUUUAGAAUAAACAAAUUUGAAGAACAUAAUGUUUAAAGGCAAGUGAAAUUAUUUGAUUUUGGAAAAUCUGUGUCCUGCAGAACCAUGACAUGGCCGUGGCAUGGCUGAUCCCCACACAGCUUCGCAGCCUCCAUGAGGCAGAAUGGUGUCCUCUGACCCUGCUCGCCCCCUCUCUUCCUUUCCACCCUUCUGUCUGGGGAUGGCAGUGAAGUUAGCAUAAUAGCAUACUGAAGCAAUGCAGUGAGAGUGUGUAUGAACAUGAGAGAAAAAUUUUUCUUAUUUCCUAUGUUUUCUCUUCUGGAGGACCGGGGACAAUGGGCCUUGUCCUCCAAAGGUCUAUGGAGCAUCACCCCAUAAUUGUAAGAACAUACCUUUGCUCCUUCAAGAUAGAGGCCAAGUAUGUAUUUCUUGCCCUAUACCAGAUGAAGGGGAGCAGGAUGAAACCAGGGUCCAAGAAUAGGGCAGAAGGGUGGAAGAGAGGAAGGAAGGUCAGAGGAAGAAGGGGUCCCAGAGACUCUCUGAGGCUGACUCUACAUAGACUGAAAACUGCUUACCAGAUUUCAGGAUAAAGGGAAUUGUAUACAAAUGUAUAAAACAACCUCAGUGAAAGGGUGGGAGAAAAAGGUGCCACCCUAGUUAACUUUGGAAAUCAGUGGAGUCUGCAAAAUUAAGGACACAUAAGAACUUUACUGUAGUUGACAAAGUUGUUCCCACAGGUAAUUUUGGAGGUGAACAAUUCUGAAACCAUUGGAAUUGAACAGUUGAGUAGAUGAAUGGCAGAUGGUGGAGCCAGGUGUGUCCUUGACGGAGUGGGAGUUUUCAGGUAAGCAAGGGGAAAUGGCUUAGAAUGAUCAAUGGUAAUAUGGUCGGAGAUCUCAGUAUGAGAUCAUGUUUAACUUAAUAUAGACACAGAUGGCUACACAAAAAUAUUUAUAGAUAUGUGUAUAUAUGUAAGUUAGUGUACACACAUAUAUUCCCUGGCCUUCUCAGCUGAGAGGGCCUACAGACUGUCAACAAUGACUCAAGAGCAAAAAGCAAACCCCACACCAACCCUUAGUUUCUACUACCAUUCUCCAGUAAAAGAAAGGGUUCAUAGAGAAAUGGCUGAGCCUAAA